rnacentral:rRNA from 1 species
GACGAACGCUGGCGGCGUGCCUAAUACAUGCAAGUCGAACGAACCGCGACUGAGUGCUUGCACUUGGUCAAGGUGAGUGGCGAACGGGUGAGUAACACGUGGGUAACCUACCUCAUAGUGGGGGAUAACAGUCGGAAACGACUGCUAAUACCGCAUAGGACAUAGGAUCACAUGAUCCAGUGAGGAAAGGUGGCGCAAGCUAUCGCUAAGAGAUGGACCCGCGGUGCAUUAGCUAGUUGGUAGGGUAAAGGCCUACCAAGGCGAUGAUGCAUAGCCGACCUGAGAGGGUGAUCGGCCACAUUGGGACUGAGACACGGCCCAAACUCCUACGGGAGGCAGCAGUAGGGAAUCUUCCGCAAUGGACGCAAGUCUGACGGAGCAACGCCGCGUGAGUGAAGAUGGUCUUCGGAUCGUAAAGCUCUGUUGUUAGAGAAGAACAGCGCAUAGAGUAACUGCUAUGCGUGUGACGGUAUCUAACCAGAAAGCCACGGCUAACUACGUG